GUCGAACGGCAGCACGGGAGCUUGCUCCUGGUGGCGAGUGGCGAACGGGUGAGUAAUGUAUCGGAACGUACCCAGUCGUGGGGGAUAACUCUCCGAAAGGAGAGCUAAUACCGCAUACGUCCUGAGGGGGAAAGCGGGGGACCUGCAAAGGCCUCGCGCGAUUGGAGCGGCCGAUAUCGGAUUAGCUAGUUGGCGGGGUAAAGGCCCACCAAGGCGACGAUCCGUAGCGGGUCUGAGAGGACGACCCGCCACACUGGAACUGAGACACGGUCCAGACUCCUACGGGAGGCAGCAGUGGGGAAUUUUGGACAAUGGGGGCAACCCCGAUCCAGCCAUUCCGCGUGAGUGAAGAAGGCCUUCGGGUUGUAAAGCUCUUUCAGCAGGAGCGAAACGGUCGUUUUUAAUACAGACGGCUAAUGACGGUACCUGCAGAAGAAGCACCGGCUAACUACGUGCCAGCAGCCGCGGUAAUACGUAGGGUGCGAGCGUUAAUCGGAAUUACUGGGCGUAAAGCGUGCGCAGGCGGCGACAUAAGACAGAUGUGAAAUCCCCGGGCUCAACCUGGGAACUGCGUUUGUGACUGUGUUGCUAGAGUGUAGCAGAGGGGGGUGGAAUUCCACGUGUAGCAGUGAAAUGCGUAGAUAUGUGGAGGAACACCGAUGGCGAAGGCAGCCCCCUGGGUUAACACUGACGCUCAUGCACGAAAGCGUGGGGAGCAAACAGGAUUAGAUACC
rnacentral:rRNA from 1 species